rnacentral:lncRNA from 1 species
GUAAAAUCAAAUAUAAAUGAAAAAAAAAUUCCGAGUAAUGACAGUAUACAUAUUUCUAAACAAGUAGAAAAAAAUGAUGAGAAAUAUAACAGUGAAAACUAUGAUAUUGCAGGAAAUAUCACAUCAGAAAAAUGUAUGCCCAAUGGGAAAAAUACUGAAACAGAAUACAUCCAAACAGGGAAUACAGAAAAGGAUACAAAACAUAUAGAAGAAUACAAUAACAAUAAUAACUGUUUUAACUCGAAUGAAUAUUUAUAUGAAUCAUUAUCUAACUCAUUAGAAUCUAAUAUUUUGAAAUGUUUACCAAAUAUACCAGAUGAUAUUGAAUUGAUAAGUAGUAACAGUAAACUUGAUAUAUUUAAUAAUAAUACAGAAAACUUUAUUAACAGUUCAGGUGUUCAUAAUUUAUUGUCGUAUACAUAUAAAGACUCAUUGUUAAGUGAGGGGAGUAUAAAAGAUUCGUUAGGGUCACAAUGUAAUAGUAAUUCAUCUUUAUCGAAAGAACCUUUAAUUGAUCCCAUAAAUAUAUAUAACGAUAACAAUAAAACUAAUGUUAAAUUAUCAGAUGAUACUAUUAUUUCUGAUUAUGCUAAAAAUAAUGGUACCUAUAUCACUGGAAAGAGUAUGUCAGAGGAUAUAAAAGAGAAUACGGGUAUGGAAGAGAAUACGGGUAUGAAAGAGAAUACGGGUAUGAAAGAGAAUAUGAAUAUGAAAGAGAAUAUGAAUAUGAAAGAGAAUAUGAAUAUAAAAAAGAAUACGGAUAUGAAAAAGAAUACAAAACAAAGUAGUUAUUUUAAGCAGACAUCAGUAUUAUCACACGAUAGUGAAAAAGGUAAGUACACAGAUAGGUGUGGUAAUGCAGAUAUAUCAAAUCUUUCACGUAUUUUAUUAAGUGAUAGCUUAAAUAGCGAACUUGAUAAUAAUUCAUCCAUAAUACAUCUUGAAAGUUUUGAAGAUUUAGAAACCUGUAACGAACAAUGGAAUGGACAAGAAAUAAAUGGGCAUAUUAUGAAUAACGAUAAUUAUAAUAAUAAUAAUUAUAAUAAUAAUAAUAAUAAUAAUAAUAAUAAUAUAGAUAAAAAUAUAAAUAAUGAAUAUAUUAAUGAAUUUAAUAAAAUACAGAAUACAAAUUUUAGUUUAACAAACGAAGAUACAUUUAAUAAUUUAAACGAUUCAAAUGACAGUAAUUACUUUAUAGAUAUAUCAGAUAAAUUAGUUGACGCAAAUUACUAUAAUACAUUGACAGAAUGUAAUAUAAAUAAUAGUAACAGUAGUGUAAGAAAAGGUAAUAAUUCCGUAAUAGAACAUAUCGAUAGCAUGAUUAAUACAACAGAUAGAAAAGUGAAUAAUCACCCAAAAAAUAGAAACACGAAAUGUAGUAGUGGUAGUAGUGGUAGUAGUGGUAAAAAUGGAAUGAAUUGUAAUUUUAAAAUAGAUACUGUAGAUGGUACGAGUAAUGUAUCAAACACAUUUGAUAAAAAUUUCGAAUCGUAUAACAUCGACUUAAACACAAAGAUAAUAAAAGAACCAACAGAUAAGCAUAAAAAUGUCAACAUUUUUAAUAAUAAUAAUAAUUAUAAUGAUAAUAAUGAUAAUGAUAAUGAUAAUGAUAAUAAUAAUAAUGAUAAUGAUAAUGAUAAUGAUAAUGAUAAUGAUAAUGAUAAUNNNNNNNNNNAUAAUGAUAAUGAUAAUGAUAAUGAUAAUGAUAAUGAUAAUGAUAAUAAUAAUAAUAAUAAUAAUGAUAAUAAUAAUAAUAAUAAUAAUAAUGAUAUAAACAAAAAUAUGUUUAAUUAUUUUUCUUCUACAAAUAGUAAUAAUCGUUCAAAUAAGUUACAUAAAGAAGGAAUAUAUAAAGUAACAAAAUUUGAUAGUAAACAUAAAAAUAUAUCGAAUAACAAUAUUAAUAAAAAAAUAGGUGUAAAAAAACAAGGAAGUACAAAAUUAAGUAUUAGUGAAAAUGCAAUUGUAAAAACAAACACAAAACAUUUAUAUCAUCCAGUUAAACAAUUAAGUUCAUCAUACAAUGAAAAAAAAUGUCAAUCACGUAUUCAAAGUGAAAAUAAAAAAAAAGAUGAAAAAAAGUUUAAUAAAGACUGGAGUUAUAAUGUGAGUAAUAUUAGGAGUGCUAGGAAUAACAAUAUGAAUAAUAAUAUAAAUAAUAAUAUGAAUAAUAAUAUGAAUAAUAAUAUGAACAUAAAAAAAAAAAUAGCUCAAAAAAAGCAACACAUGCAAAAGACUUUUCAAUAUAAAACCUAUGACAGUACAAAUAAGGAAAUAAAAAGUACUAGUCCUACUAAGAAAGGAAGUGAACAAAAAAAAGGAUACGGGGUAAGUAAUGAAAUGUGCAUUGACCAUUAUGACAAGAACAAAUAUAGUAAUAACCACAGUGAGGAAAACAGUGAUAAACACAGUGAGGAACAUAAUAAAUAUAGUACAAAUUUAAACGAUCAAUUAAAAAAAGAAAAAGUUAUUUUAUCUAAUGUAAAAAGAGAGUCGUUAAAACACAUUUUUGAAGAAAAUAUUAGUGAAGAAGAGAAAAAAAAAAAAAAAAAAAAAAAAAAAAAAAAAAAAAAAAAAAAAAAAAAAAAAAAAAAAGAUAAAGAUAAUAAGACAGUUGUAAAAGAUAAAGAAUGUUUUGAAACUGAAAAUGUACAAAAUAUUUUAACAACUUUCUAUUUAGAAGAACAAAAUAAACAAAUAGAAACUGAAAAAAAUGAUUUAAUAAAAGAAAUAAUGAAUAAAAAUAAAGAACUAUUAUUAAAAGAAGAAGAAAUAAAAGCUCAAAAAAAUAUUAUAGAUAAUCUGCAUAAAGAAAAUAAAAUAAUAGAAAAUAAAUUAGAGUUGAAUAAAUUAAAAAAUGAAGAAAUAUUAGAAAAAAAUAAUAAAAUUAUAAAAUUUAAAAUUGAUGAAUUAAAAGAAGAACUAAAUACAAAAGAUAAAGAAAUUGUUUUAAUAAAAACAAAUGAAAAUAUAUUAAAAAAAGAAUUAAAUAUAUAUAUAAAAAAUGAUGAUAAAAACAAAAGUGAUAUACAAAUUUUAUCAAAUGAAAUAAAUAUUUAUAAAAAUAAUUUGAAUAAUGCACAAACUGAAAUAAAAAAACUAAUAGAUGAAAAUGAUAAACUUAAAAAUAAUGUUAAUUCGUUACAAAUGGAAAAAGACACUUUAAAAAAAAAGUUGUUUAUCGAUAUCAAAAUGGAUGAUGAGAGUUAUAUUAAGAAAAAAGAUGGUUUACAAAAUAGAGAUAACGAUAACUUUGAGGAACAGGAAAACACAGUGGGGGAUAAUGUGAGCGGGUAUAAUUGUGACAGUAUGGAAAAAGGAAAGGGAAAAAUGAGUGGAAAAAGCGAAAUGACGAGUGGAAAAAGCGAAAUGACGAGUGNNNNNNNNNNGAGUGGAAAAAGUGAAUUGGCGAGUGGAAAAAGUGAAUUGGCGAGUGGAAAAUGCGAAAUGACAAAUAAAGAGAGCGAACACUUAGAUGCUUACAUAAAGAUGAACAAACAAAUACUGGAAAAUAUAUCAAAUGAGAAAAAAAACAAUUCUAACUUAUUAAACAACAGUUGUAUGUCUUUUUGUAAAAAUAAAAUAGAAAAUAUAUUACAAAAUAAUGAAAAACAUGAUUUUAUGAAAAAAGUAAACUACAAUGAUUAUAAUAAACUAUUUGUGGAAAUAUCAAACAAAUCAUCCGAUGAUUUACUAUUAGAAUAUAAACAGUUAAUUAAAGAAUAUAUAUUUUUAAAUUUAUUAAAAGAAGAAUAUGAAAAAGAUAAUUUACAUUUACAUAAACAUAAUAAAAUAUUAAAUGAAGAAAUUAUUAAAUUGAAAAACGAAAUAUAUAUAAAUCAAAUAAAUUACAUAAAUAAUGAACAAAAGUUUAAAACGUUUGAAGAAAAUGUAGAAGAAAGUUAUAAAAAUGAGAACAUAUUUUAUGGUUUGAUUGGUAACAAAACAGUUUUAAAUAAUAAUAUGUUAUAUCACAAUAUAUUAAGUAUGACUGAAAAGGAAAGAGAAUGUAAUAGUGCGACACAGUAUGUUAACAUAAAUAUUGAUACAUAUAAAAAUAAAUAUAUUCAAAUGAAAAAUUUGAAUAAAGAACUUGCUCAUCAGUUGAAUAAUAUAUAUAGAUUAAUUUUAGGAGAUGAACAAAACAAAUCGGCUACAACAGAAGGAAAAGGAAAGGGGGAAAAAAAUGGAGAUGAAGAAGAUAAUAUAUAUAUAAAAAUAUUAAAUAGAACAAAAACAAUAACCAAAAGUGUUAAUAUAAUAAAUGAUGAAAUGUCGAAAUUGAAUAUAUAUAAUACUUUAAAUUAUAACAAUUGUAACGAUAUUAAUUCUAAUUAUAAAAAACAAAACAGUAGUAGUAGUAGUAAUAAUAAUAAUAAUAAUAAUAAUAAUAAUAAUAAUAAUGUAAAAGAAGAUAUUUUAAAAAAUUACUCAAACAUAAUUGUUUAUUUAAAUUCCAUAUCAGUAGAUGUAUUAUUUAUAAGUACCAACAUAACAUUAAUUAAUGAGUUGAUUGAUAAAAACAAAAAUAAUAUAAUCAAUCAAAAUAAUCUAUUUUUAAUUAAAAAGGAAUUAUUAACAGAUUCGAAUGAAGCAGAUUCCGUUUAUUUAAAUUAUCAAAGACAUGGUAGUACAAGUAAUAACAACCAGCAAUAUAUUAAAACACCAAUUAAAAAAAAUAUAACAAACGUUUCUAAUUAUUAUAUACAGGAUAAUAAUUUUGAAAGUAUCCCAUCAGGACCCUAUACAUAUUACAAUAAUAACAGUGACAAUAACAGUGACAAUAACAGUGACAAUAACAGUGGAAAUAACAGUGGCAAUAACAGUAACAAUAACAGUAACAAUAACAGUGGCAAUAACAAUGACAAUGACAAUAUUCAAAAUAAUAAUUAUUUUAACAAAAAUAAUAGUAAUAAUAAUUCAUUUAAUUAUCCAUAUAUAAAAAAUGUAUUAAAUACAGAUUAUUUAAUCUCAGACAAAAACUAUCUUACUUUUAAUAAUGUCGAAAAUUUAAUUACAUUUAUUGAAAUCUGUUUAUCUAGUGAUUUAGUUUUUAUUUUAUGCCAUAUAAGUAAAUACGUUAAUGAGCUAAAUGCACAUAUGAGAAGUAAUAAUAUAAAAAAUGUUUAUACAAUAGCAUUUAAUUUAAUAAAUGUAAUUGAUAAAAUUAACAAUUUUUGUAACAAUGAACAUGUUUAUACUCCGUUUUUGAUUAACUUUGUAAAUUUUUUUAACCUUAUAAAUAAAUAUCUCCAAAAAAUAGUCAGCAUAACAACAUUUGUCACAAUAGACACUACUACUAAUACUAAUAAUACUACUAAUACUACUAAUACUAAUACUAAUACUACUACUACUGCUACUACUAAUACUACUACUACUAAUACUACUACUACUACUAAUAGUAACAAUAAAAAAAAACGUGAAAUAAACUACAAUGAAAUAUUAUUCAAAGUAACAAGUGAAAUAUAUAAUAUUAAAAAAAUAAUCCGUUUAAUUUUGUUAUCUUUUUUUAAUUUCUAUAAAACAAAUAUGAUUUAUUUUACAAAAGAAAAUAUGUAUAUACCCAAUGCUCAAAAAUUAAAUUUAAGUAACCCUACAAUGAAUAGUAAUGAAACAAACAAUUCAGGUUCAAAUAUAGACAAAAAUGAUUACAUAAAAGUUCAUAAAAUAAAAGGAUAUAUUAAUUCAUUGAAGGCUUCACUCACUAAGACUUAUAGUUCGUUUGAUUUAAAUAAAUUGGCUAGUCAAAAUAGUAUUAAAAAAAUGGAUAGUAUAAAAAAAAUGGAUAGUAUAAAAAAANNNNNNNNNNAAAAAAAAUGGAUAGUAUAA